rnacentral:misc_RNA from 1 species
UAUUCCUACUUUUUCUCUGAGAGACCGACCGAUGACCUCCGCUAAGGCCUAGGCCUAGCUCUCUUUGGCGAAGUAGAAGCUCCUGUGUUCUGUGUAUAUCAGAGAGUCCAUAGUACCAGGUAACAAUUAAGAUUCCAUGGGUAAAUUUGAAGUGGAUCGUUUUGUGAAUGCACCAGAUCCUGAUUUGGUCUGCUGUGUUUGCUACUGUGUACUUGAUGACGCUCUAGAGAGCCCAUGCCAGCAUGUCUAUUGUAAAGUUUGCAUUUAUACAUGGCUCGACAAUCGUAAAAGCUGUCCAAACUGCCGUCGCCGGUUACGCUCAACGCGUCUAAAGCCUGUUCUUCCAAUUGUACGCAACAUGAUAAAUAGACUGCAGAUUCGCUGUGAAAAUGUAGAGAACGGUUGCACGCAUGUCAUGCAACUGGAGGCUUAUAACAGUCAUGUAGAGAUGUGCGAUUAUAGAUUCGUCAAUUGCACAAACAAUGAAUGUAAUGAAAAAGUGUUGUACAAGAACUUAGAAGAACAUAAGCAUCAGUGUUUGCACCGAUUAACAAAAUGCGAAAAAGGGUGUGACCUACUACUACCCCUGGGCAAGCUCACUGGACACAAUUGUUUGUCAGAACUAAAGGAGAAAUUACAAAAAGUCGAAGGCAAUUUGCAGAUUGUAACAUUAAAAAUGACAGAUGUUGAGAAACGAAUACAAGUAUUAGAACGUCACCACCAAAGAAGAAGGUCAGAUAGGUCACCUUCAUUUCACUACCAAAGAAGAAGAUCAGAUAGGUCACCUUCAUUAGUAUCUUCCAUUUCAUCGUUGUCAAGGAGACGAAGCCCUCCGUUACCUUGGUACUCACCAAGUGGUCCUAAUCAAGGCAGAUUUCAAAAUAGGUACAAUCAGAGAUCUAGACAGAGUAACCAAAGUCGUGAUCAAACCCAGAAUGCAGACAGACCUAGAGACCGAAAUAGAUCUAGAAGUCCAUCAAGUAGUCCUUUUAUCAGCAGAACAUACAUAGACUUGAAUAACCGUACACCCAGGAGAUCAAGGAGUAGAAGCUGGUCACUCCUUCGAAGUAGUACCUCAAGAAGUGUGUCUCCUAUAAGAGACGGAAGUUUAAUUAGUGAUUCUUCAGACAAUCAAUCAGAUUCAUCUACAUGGCUUUCUUCAAUUAUUCAAGGGUUCAAUACAAGUAGUGCAGCUGUCAAUUCUAGCGAUGAUGAAUCAUUCUAUUCAGAGAUGAACCGGUCUUUUAGCAGUGGAUCUGUAACCACUGAUUUAGUGUCUGGUACUGGUAGUCCGACACAAAAUAAUGAAAGAGGUUUAUUGUUAGAAGAAGAUAUUGAGAUCACUACUGCUGUUGUUGGUACAGGAGAUCAAGAGGACAAUGCUUUCUCACCUACUCCAGCUGCCAACGUCCAACAACCAGCUAAUGAUGCAAUGAAUACAUCAAAUGUGAUUGAACAAUCAGUAGAAUCAGAAAAUCAAGAGGAAAUGAAUGUUGUCAAUGUGCGUCGAUCAUCACGGUUGGCAGCUAGAAGAGAAGAUGCCAUGAAGUCUGGAACUCAAGAAAUGACAGAUAGAGAUGAAGGUAGUAGCUCUAUGCAACAUUCUACAUCUUUUUCAGCUGUACCAAUCCUUUCAAGAAUCACCAUUGAAGAGCUUAUGAGUGAAGGGACAGAGUCAAGCAAUGAAUCCAGCUGGAGACCAGAAAGUGACGUUACUACAUCUGACUUCAGUGUCUUCGAUGGCGAGGAUGAUGAAAAUGAUUCAUGUAACAGCAGCAAUUAUUUUUCAAGUUGUGAACAGGAGGAACCACAUUGGACAUCACUAUUGCAAAAUUGUAACUCAAACUCCAGUGAUACGGAUGAUACAUGGUCUUUAGGGACAGCAUAGUAUCAGUAUGUCAAACUCUUGUCAACAGUUUAGUAACAGGUACGAUUUCCUAAAAUUAUAUGAAGAGGUAAAUAAUAAGAGGCAUUGAGAAAAGAGAAGAUGCAGUGUGUAAAGAGAGAGAGUUAGUGAGUGGAAGAGAAAAGAGAAGAUGCAGUGUGUAAAGAGAUGGAGUUAGUGAGUGGAAGAGAAAAGAGAAGAUGCAGUGUGUAAAGAGAUGGAGUUAGUGAGUGGAAGAGAAAAGAGAAGACGCAGUGUGUAAAGAAAUGGAGUUAGUGAGUGGAAGAGAAAAGAGAAGAUGCAGUGUGUAAAGAGAUGGAGUUAGUGAGUGGAAGAGAAAAGAGAAGAUGCAGUGUGUAAAGAGAUGGAGUUAGUGAGUGGAAGAG